rnacentral:rRNA from 1 species
UGGGGAAUAUUGCACAAUGGGGGAAACCCUGAUGCAGCGACGCCGCGUGAGUGAAGAAGUAUUUCGGUAUGUAAAGCUCUAUCAGCAGGGAAGAAAAUGACGGUACCUGACUAAGAAGCCCCGGCUAACUACGUGCCAGCAGCCGCGGUAAUACGUAGGGGGCAAGCGUUAUCCGGAUUUACUGGGUGUAAAGGGAGCGUAGACGGUGUGGCAAGUCUGAAGUGAAAGCCCGCGGCUUAACUGCGGGACUGCUUUGGAAACUGCCAUGCUAGAGUGCUGGAGAGGUAAGUGGAAUUCCUAGUGUAGCGGUGAAAUGCGUAGAUAUUAGGAGGAACACCAGUGGCGAAGGCGGCUUACUGGACAGUAACUGACGUUGAGGCUCGAAAGCGUGGGGAGCAAACAGGAUUAGAUACC